UGACCCUACGGGAGGCAGCAGUAGGGAAUCUUCCACAAUGGACGAAAGUCUGAUGGAGCAACGCCGCGUGAGUGAAGAAGGGUUUCGGCUCGUAAAGCUCUGUUGGUAGUGAAGAAAGAUAGAGGUAAUAACUGGCCUUUAUUUGACGGUAAUUACUUAGAAAGUCACGGCUAACUACGUGCCAGCAGCCGCGGUAAUACGUAAGUGGCAAGCGUUUUCCGGGUUUUUUGGGGGUAAAGCGAGUGCAGGCGGUUCAAUAAGUCUGAUUUGUAA
rnacentral:rRNA from 1 species